rnacentral:rRNA from 1 species
GAUGAACGCUGGCGGCGUGCCUAAUACAUGCAAGUCGAGCGAACAGAUAAGGAGCUUGCUCCUUUGACGUUAGCGGCGGACGGGUGAGUAACACGUGGGUAACCUACCUAUAAGACCGGAAUAACUCCGGGAAACCGGGGCUAAUGCCGGAUAACAUUUAGAACCGCAUGGUUCUAAAGUGAAAGAUGGUUUUGCUAUCACUUAUAGAUGGACCCGCGCCGUAUUAGCUAGUUGGUAAGGUAACGGCUUACCAAGGCAACGAUACGUAGCCGACCUGAGAGGGUGAUCGGCCACACUGGAACUGAGACACGGUCCACACUCCUACGGGAGGCAGCAGUAGGGAAUCUUCCGCAAUGGGCGAAAGCCUGACGGAGCAACGCCGCGUGAGUGAUGAAGGUCUUCGGAUCGUAAAACUCUGUUAUUAGGGAAGAACAAAUGUGUAAGUAACUGUGCACGUCUUGACGGUACCUAAUCAGAAAGCCACGGCUAACUACGUG